AUUGAACGCUGGCGGCAGGCUUAACACAUGCAAGUCGAGCGGGGGAAGGUAGCUUGCUACCGGACCUAGCGGCGGACGGGUGAGUAAUGCUUAGGAAUCUGCCUAUUAGUGGGGGACAACAUCUCGAAAGGGAUGCUAAUACCGCAUACGUCCUACGGGAGAAAGCAGGGGAUCUUCGGACCUUGCGCUAAUAGAUGAGCCUAAGUCGGAUUAGCUAGUUGGUGGGGUAAAGGCCUACCAAGGCGACGAUCUGUAGCGGGUCUGAGAGGAUGGUCCGCCACACUGGGACUGAGACCAGGCCCAGAGUCCUACGGGAGGCAGCAGUGGGGAAUAUUGGACAAUGGGGGGAACCCUGAUCCAGCCAUGCCGCGUGUGUGAAGAAGGCCUUAUGGUUGUAAAGCACUUUAAGCGAGGAGGAGGCUACUCUAGUUAAUACCUAGGGAUAGUGGACGUUACUCGCAGAAUAAGCACCGGCUAACUCUGUGCCAGCAGCCGCGGUAA
rnacentral:rRNA from 1 species